GACAACGUGAUUGUAAGCCCAGUGACAAC
rnacentral:sRNA from 1 species